UGUCUUUGGGUGGAAAGACAUGAAUAGGUGGCUCACUCUCCUCUCAUAUGUCACUGCGAACUGCGGUCCAUGUUGUCACGUAUAUUCUAUAUUCUGUCUUGUUGAAGAUAUGGCCGAUCAGGACCCCAUUGAUCCAUCUAAGAUGAUUGGUGGUAGGUGUGCGAUGACUCAGAGCCACCGGAGGGAGAGGCAGAGCGGCCACAUCCCA
rnacentral:lncRNA from 1 species